GGUCCUCAUGGCCCAUAUGGGUAGGGCUUCACACGUCAUACAGAUGGUCAUACAAAGGGCCGCCAACCCGCGAGGGGGAGCUAAUCCCAGAAAGUGUAUCGUAGUCCGGAUUGUAGUCCUCAACUCGACUACAUGAAGUUGGAAUCGCUAGUAAUCGCGGAUCAGCAUGUCGCGGUGAAUACGUUCCCGGGUCUUGUACACACCGCCCGUCACACCAUGGGAGCGGGUUUUACCAGAAGUAGGUAGCUUAACCUUCGGGAGGGCGCUUACCACGGUGAGCUUCAUGACUGGGGUGAAGUCGUAACAAGGUAACCAAUAGAAUUCCCGCGGCC
rnacentral:rRNA from 1 species